rnacentral:hammerhead_ribozyme from 1 species
GCACUGGAGAGGAGUCCCACAAUAGGACGAAACAGCUGUCCAGUGC